rnacentral:rRNA from 1 species
AUUAAAGUGGCUAAGGCCCAUGAACAUGGAUGGACUGCGGUGCAUUAGCUAGUUGGUGAGGUAACGGCCCACCAAGGCGACGAUGCAUAGCCGGCCUGAGAGGGCGGACGGCCACAUUGGGACCGAGACACGGCCCAAACUCCUACGGGAGGCAGCAGUAGGGAAUUUUCGUCAAUGGGGGGAACCCUGAACGAGCAAUGCCGCGUGAGUGAGGAAGGUCUUCGGAUCGUAAAGCUCUGUUGUAAGAGAAAAACGACAUUCAUAGGGAAUGAUGAGUGAGUGAUGGUAUCUUACCAGAAAGUCACGGCUAACUACGUGCCAGCAGCCGCGGUAAUACGUAGGUGGCGAGCGUUAUCCGGAAUGAUUGGGCGUAAAGGGUGCGUAGGUGGCAGAACAAGUCUGGAGUAAAAGGUAUGGGCUCAACCCGUACUGGCUCUGGAAACUGUUCAGCUAGAGAACAGAAGAGGACGGCGGAACUCCAUGUGUAGCGGUAAAAUGCGUAGAUAUAUGGAAGAACACCGGUGGCGAAGGCGGCCGUCUGGUCUGUUGCUGACACUGAAGCACGAAAGCGUGGGGAGCAAAUAGGAUUAGAUACCCUAGUAGUCCACGCCGUAAACGAUGAGAACUAGGUGUUGGGGGAAUAACUCAGUGCCGCAGUUAACGCAAUAAGU